UACGUAGGGUGCAAGCGUUAAUCGGAAUUACUGGGCGUAAAGCGUGCGCAGGCGGUUCUGUAAGUCAGAUGUGAAAUCCCCGGGCUCAACCUGGGAACUGCAUUUGUGACUGCAUGGCUAGAGUACGGUAGAGGGGGAUGGAAUUCCGCGUGUAGCAGUGAAAUGCGUAGAUAUGCGGAGGAACACCGAUGGCGAAGGCAAUCCCCUGGACCUGUACUGACGCUCAUGCACGAAAGCGUGGGGAGCAAACAGG
rnacentral:rRNA from 1 species